GCUGGGUGUGGUGGCUCACACCUGUAAUCCCAGCACUUUGGGAGGCCAAGGUGGGUGAAUCACCUGAGGUCAGGAGUUUGAGACCAACCUGGCCAACAAGGUGAAACCCCAUCUUUA
rnacentral:SRP_RNA from 2 species